rnacentral:rRNA from 1 species
UACGAAGGGGGCUAGCGUUGCUCGGAAUUACUGGGCGUAAAGCGCACGUAGGCGGAUUGUUAAGUCGGGGGUGAAAUCCUGGAGCUCAACUCCAGAACUGCCUUCGAUACUGGCGAUCUCGAGUUCGGGAGAGGUGAGUGGAACUGCGAGUGUAGAGGUGAAAUUCGUAGAUAUCGAGAGGAACACCGGUGGCGAAGGCGGCCAACUGGACAGAUACUGACGCUGAGACACGAAAGCGUGGGGAGCAAACAGG